CCUACGGGAGGCAGCAGUGAGGAAUAUUGGACAAUGGGCGCAAGCCUGAUCCAGCCAUGCCGCGUGCAGGAUGACGGUCCUAUGGAUUGUAAACUGCUUUUGCACAGGAAGAAACAACAUUACGUGUAAUGUCUUGACGGUACUGUGAGAAUAAGGAUCGGCUAACUCCGUGCCAGCAGCCGCGGUAAUACGGAGGAUCCAAGCGUUAUCCGGAAUCAUUGGGUUUAAAGGGUCCGUAGGCGGUUUGGUAAGUCAGUGGUGAAAGCCCAUCGCUCAACGGUGGAACGGCCAUUGAUACUGCCAGACUUGAAUUAUUAGGAAGUAACUAGAAUAUGUAGUGUAGCGGUGAAAUGCUUAGAGAUUACAUGGAAUACCAAUUGCGAAGGCAGGUUACUACUAAUGGAUUGACGCUGAUGGACGAAAGCGUGGGUAGCGAACAGGAUUAGAUACCCUGGUAGUCCACGCCGUAAACGAUGGAUACUAGCUGUUGGGAGCAAUCUCAGUGGCUAAGCGAAAGUGAUAAGUAUCCCACCUGGGGAGUACGUUCGCAAGAAUGAAACUUAAAGGAAUUGACGG
rnacentral:rRNA from 1 species